AUUGAACGCUGGCGGCAGGCUUAACACAUGCAAGUCGAGCGAGCGGCGGACGGGUGAGUAAUGUCUGGGAAACUGCCUGAUGGAGGGGGAUAACUACUGGAAACGGUAGCUAAUACCGCAUACCAUCAGAUGUGCCCAGAUGGGAUGAGCUAGUAGGUGGGGUAAUGGCUCACCUAGGCGACGAUACCUAGCUGGUCUGAGAGGAUGACCAGCCACACUGGAACUGAGACACGUUCCAGCCUCCUACGUGAGUCAGCAGUGGGGAAUAUUGCACAAUGGGCGCAAGCCUGAUGCAGCCAUGCCGCGUGUGGGAAGAAGGCCUUCGGGUUGUAAAGCACUUUCAGCGGGGAGGCGUUACCCGCAGAAGAAGCACCGGCUAACUCCGUGCCAGCCGCCGCGGUAAUUC
rnacentral:rRNA from 1 species